rnacentral:rRNA from 1 species
GAUGAACGCUGGCGGCGUGCCUAAUACAUGCAAGUCGAGCGAACAGACGAGGAGCUUGCCCCUCUGACGUUAGCGGCGGACGGGUGAGUAACACGUGGAUAACCUACCUAUAGGACUGGGAUAACUUCGGGAAACCGGAGCUAAUACCGGAUAAUAUAUUGAACCGCAUGGUUCAAUAGUGAAAGACGGUUUUGCUGUCACUUAUAGAUGGAUCCGCGCCGCAUUAGCUAGUUGGUAAGGUAACGGCUUACCAAGGCAACGAUGCGUAGCCGACCUGAGAGGGUGAUCGGCCACACUGGAACUGAGACACGGUCCAGACUCCUACGGGAGGCAGCAGUAGGGAAUCUUCCGCAAUGGGCGAAAGCUUGACGGAGCAACGCCGCGUGAGUGAUGAAGGUCUUCGGAUCGUAAAACUCUGUUAUUAGGGAAGAACAAAUGUGUAAGUAACUAUGCACGUCUUGACGGUACCUAAUCAGAAAGCCACGGCUAACUACGUG